rnacentral:rRNA from 1 species
UACGUAGGGUGCGAGCGUUAAUCGGAAUUACUGGGCGUAAAGCGUGCGCAGGCGGUUUUGUAAGUUUUGUCGUGAAAGCCCCGGGCUCAACCUGGGAAUUGCGAUGAAGACUGCAAGGCUUGAAUCUGGCAGAGGGGGGUAGAAUUCCACGUGUAGCAGUGAAAUGCGUAGAGAUGUGGAGGAACACCGAUGGCGAAGGCAGCCCCCUGGGUCAAGAUUGACGCUCAUGCACGAAAGCGUGGGGAGCAAACAGG